GACUUAUAAGUAAACAAAUUAAUAAUCUUUUAAGGGAAAAGAAUAACUCUUCUAACUCAGAAAGUGAGUCCGAUCAAGAAAUGGAAGAGAUGCAAAAUACCUCUGACGAAAGUAGUUAUCAUAGUAGUAUUGAACAUGGAAAAGAUAUUUGCAAAAAUUGUAUCCAAGUCAUUUCUAAAGAAAAGAAAGAAGUCAUCUUUGAUCUUAUCCAAGAAAUCCCAGAUACCGAUAUAAGGGAUGGUUACCUUAAUAAGUUAAAAGAUUGAAUUCUUGAAGAACCCUCUACUUCUAAGAAGAUAAACAUCAAUGAACAAUUUAGUCUAAAUAAGCUUUGGGAUAAAUAUCCCUACCAAAGCAUAUCUAAACAAAUAACAACAAAAGACCUCCAAAGUGAAAUUAAUAGCCUUAAAAAACAAAUUAAUAAAGAAUUUUAUGAAUUAAAAGAAAAAGACUUUGAAAUAGAGACAAGACUCUCUAUUAUUGAAAAUAAUAAAGAAAUUAAUAACUGGAAGAAUCUUGAUCCAGAAAAUAAUUCUAUAAAAGUUAUCCGAGAAAUUGAAUAUAAAAAAUGACAUGCUAAUAUCACUCUUGCUGUUAAUGACUUCAAAACCAGUAUUAUGGCCUUAGUUGAUUCAAGAGCAGACCAUAAUAUUAUCAGAGAAGGAAUAGUCCCUACUAAAUACUGCGACAAAUCCAAAGAAAAACUUUAUACUGCUAAUAAUAACCUAUUAAAAAUCAAAUACAAACUUUCCAAAGCUCACAUCUGUAACAAUGGUCAUUGCUUCAAGAAUAUCUUUACUAUUGUUGAAGAUAUCACAUAUAAUAUGAUUCUUGGAACGCCUUUCCUAACUCAAAUUUAUCCUUUCUAUGUCAAUGAUAGUGAUAUUACUACUAAGGUUCAAGGAAGAGAAAUAAAUUAUAAAUUCAUCUUUCCCAUUAAGAAGCAAGAAAUUCUUAAUCUUCAGAAUAACUCUAUACUCAGACAUAUUAAUAAUAUUACCCAAAAACAAAAACAAAAACAAAUUAGUUUUCUAAAAGAAGAAUUACCUUUUCAACGAAUUGAAGACCAACUUAGAACUCCUAAGAUUAUCUCAAAAAUUAAGGAAAUUGAAAAUAACUUUGUCAAACGAGUUUGUAAUGAAAUCCCAAAUGCCUUUUGGGAUAGAAAACACCAUGUCAUUGAAUUACCUUAUGAAAAGGGUUUCAAUGAAGAAAAUAUCCCGACAAAAUCGAGACCUAUCGAAAUGAACCAGGAACUCUAAGAAAUUUGUAAAAAGGAGAUUAAAGAAUUAUUAGAUAAGAAACUUAUAAGACCUUCAAAAUCUCCUUGGAGUUGUUCAGCCUUCUGUGUAAUUAAACAAGCAGAACUUGAAAGAGGAACACCUAGGCUGGUCAUAAAUUACAAACCCCUUAAUAAAGUUCUACAAUGGAUUAGGUAUCCUAUCCCCAACAAAAGGGAUUUAAUAGGAAGACUAUUUAAUACUAUUUUUUCCAAGUUCGACCUCAAGUCUGGAUUUUGGCAAAUCCAAAUCUCUGAAAAGGAUAGAUAUAAAACAGCCUUCACAGUUCCUUUCGGACAUUAUGAAUGGAAUGUCAUGCCUUUUGGCCUAAAAAAUGCCCCUUCAGAAUUUCAAAAAAUCAUGAAUGAUAUCAUGAAUCCUCUUAGUCAUUUUAGUAUUGUCUAUAUCGACAAUAUUCUAAUCAUCUCCCAAGAUAUUGAUCAACAUAUCAAACAUUUAGACACUCUCUUAAAAACCAUAGAGAAAAAUGGAUUAGCUAUAUCCACCCCCAAAUUAAAAUUAUUUCAAACCAAUAUCAGAUUUUUAGGACAUGAAAUUAGUAAAUGAACUUUCAAACCUAUCAGUAGGUCGAUUUCCUUUACAGACAAAUUCCUGAUGAAAUCAAAGAUAAAAAUCAAUUACAAAGAUUCUUAGGAUGCCUGAAUUACAUUUCAGAUUUCUUUCCUAAUCUUAGGGAGUCAUGUAAACUUCUUUAUCAAAGGCUUAGAAAAAACCCCCCUAAUUGGACAGAAGAACACACUAAUACUAUCAAAACCAUAAAACAAGAAGUAAAAACUCUUCCGUGCGUAGGCAUCCCUAAUCCAAAAGCCUUUAUGAUCAUAGAAACAGAUGCCUCAAAUCUAGGUUAUGGAGGAAUUUUAAAACAAAGAAUUGACUCAAAAGAACAAUUAGUAAGAUACCGCUCAGGAAUAUGGAAUGAUACACAGAUUAAUUAUUCUACAAUUAAAAAAGAAAUUCUGUCAAUAGUUUUGUGUAUCUCAAAAUUUCAAGACGACCUUUACAAUAAAAAGUUUAUACUUAGGAUUGAUUGCAAAUUAGCAAAAGAAGUUCUUGUUAAAGAUGUUCAAAAUAUUGUUUCAAAACAAAUUUUUGCAAGAUGGCAAGUUAUACUUUCCAUUUUUUACUUCGAAAUAGAGUAUAUCAAAGGAGAAAAUAAUUUUUUACCAGACUUUCUAACAAGAGAAUUCUUACAAGGAACCAGCGAUGGAUCCAGCGAAAAAGAAGAUUCAAAGUGCAAAAGACUAUGAAAUUCAUGAUUCAAAAGCAGUAGCCUUAACUCCUUUCCCAACUACACCUCAAAAACAGAUUGUCCCAAAUAAGUUUUCUCCUCUACAACUUAGACCUGAAAUCCCGUUCAAAAGUGUGCUUGCUUCAAACCCGCCAAAACCUACAAAUAUCCAAAUUCCAAACCCUCCAUAACAAUUCCAAAAAUAUCUUACAAAAGAUUGGUUCGAGGAUAUCGGAAUGACUCCUCACACCGAUUAUCCCACGGACCUUAUUCAAAAAGAUUUUAUCCGAGCCAGAUUUCAAAACCCAGCUCAGCUGUGGGAAUCGGAUAAUUUCUUAAAAGAUCAAAGAUAUUAUGAGUUAAUUCUUGUAGACUCACAUUCUAUAGAAAUAACUCAGAACCCUUCAAGUUCAAAUGAAAUUAGUUUUUCAAAAUGUGUGAUUAGAAAGAUCCAUACUAUUACUACUUUUGGAGGAUUUAAAGAAUUCAAAAUUUUUUCAGUCCGUCACCCGGCAAAAGGAUUCAAUUAUAUUGAUUACAAAAAUGCUUGGUUUCAAGCCUUUUUUAUCAGACCUUUUAACCAUUCGUGGUUUUUUACCUACCACUCAGACAUAGACAAACAUUUUCCCAUAUGGUUCUUUGACUGGUGGAGAAAAUUUGGAUCCAAUAUCCAAAUCACGCCACCCUCUGUUCAAAAAGGUUUUGAAGUCUUUUCGGAAAAUUCAAACCUUUCUUUAUAUCAAAAACCCUUGAUGUUCCAUGCAGAAUUCAAAGUACCUUGGAUUUUUGCCUGGGAUUUUCACUUUAAGAAAAUCUAUCCAGACCCAACUCCCUUUUCUUUAGUUAGAAUUUUCAAAAUCAAAUGGUGGAAUAAAUUUCAGGAGAAUAUUUGUUCCAAACAUGCUGUUAGACAAUUUUUGUCUACAUGACAAAAAGUUACUUACAAAAAGGGAGACGUCAAAAAAGAGAACCCCAGUUAUAGUUCCAAAGCCUUUGAGGAUUCAAAGUUCAUGAAUAUGCCAGAAGAAAUGAAGAAGGAAUUUUUUGAAUUCCUUGCUCAAAGGUCCAAUUCUACCAAGUCAAAGUCAGAAGAAUCAGUUUCCUCUGAUCCAAUAAGAGAACAAGAUCCUUUUGAUUUCCAGGACCCGUACAAUUUUUAAAGAUGGCUAUGAAGAGUUUGUAGAGGUUCAAAGAAGGAUUAAGAUUAUUAAACAAUUAAAUCAGAAGGAUUCAUAUUCCACUCGCUGCUUAGGAUGCCGAGAAGGAACGCCUUAUAUAAUCGUGAUCAUGGUAUAGAGAUAAAAAUAUUAGAAGCAGGGAUCAAAGAGCAAAGAAGAAGAAUAAGAGUUUUCUAUAAAAUCAGACGACGCAGAAACAGAUCUUUUUGUUGGGAUAAUGAUGAAGAUUGGCAAAGAGAGCAAAUUAUUGAAAAAUGCAAAAGGAGAAUCAGAAUUAUCCAUAUAAUACUUGCUGCCUAGCGGUCAUGACCAAUGUCUCAAAAUUCAAAAUCAAAAGUUGCUUACCACGAGAUCAAAAGUUGUCAAGAUAAGGAUGCCACAAUUUUCAAGAGAGUUCACCAAAAGACAAAAGUUGCCUCCAAAGGGGACCACCACUUCCCGAGACGAUCUGCACGUAGCCUUUAUUGUAAUCUUUUGCAAUAUAAUAUUAUGUAAUAGUUAACUUUGUAGCUCUAUAAAUAGCUUGUAAAUUAAGGAGAAAGGGCACACCGGUCUUAGAGUUUUCAGACCAUUGCUCUCUUCCUCCUCCCUCUGUAACCCUUGAAGUUUUUAAGCCACAAUUUGAGUCAUGGGUCAAUACUGUGUUGAAGCUUCAUCAAGGUCGAUUUGUUGAGGGCAUGGUCAUUAAUUUUGAUACAUAUAUCAAGAAGAGUUCAAUUCGAUCACGGAAGAUGAUGCAGUUCACAAUUGGGCGUACUUUGCUAUGAAUAAGGAAGUUCAAAGAUUUACAAUGACUAAAAGAGGCCGUCCGUCGCGCCCUCAACCUACACACACUGCAGCAGAGAAGCAACUAAGACUGGACAUCGACGAAGCAGUUGAUGAUGUAAUUCCAGUUGCACUAGCGCAGAAAUUCAGGGAAAGAUUGGUCGGGGCCGUGCCAAGCACAGCUCUAGAAGAGGGUGACCAAAAGAAACCCAGGGGGAGAAAGGUCAACCUUCUCUAUUGUCGACGAACCCCGUCUGAGUUUCUAAACUGUAGUAUAUUAUUAAUGUACAUUCCAUUAAUUGCGUGUGCAUAA